rnacentral:rRNA from 1 species
CCUACGGGAGGCAGCAGUAGGGAAUAUUGGGCAAUGGAGGCAACUCUGACCCAGCCAUGCCGCGUGCAGGAAGACGGUCCUCUGGAUUGUAAACUGCUUUUGAAUGGGAAGAAUGUGCUCCUUGCGAGGGGUAAUGACGGUACCAUUAGAAUAAGCCACGGCUAACUACGUGCCAGCAGCCGCGGUAAUACGCAGGUGGCGAGCGUUAUCCGGAUUUAUUGGGUUUAAAGGGUGCGUAGGCGGCUUAAUAAGUCGGUGGUUAAAAGUAGCAGCUUAACUGUUUUACAUGCCAUCGAUACUGUUGAGCUUGAGAUAUUUGGAGGCAGCUAGAAUUUCCGGUGUAGCGGUGAAAUGCAUAGAUACCGGAAGGAAUACCAAUUGCGAAGGCAGGUUGCUACGAAUAAACUGACGCUGAUGCACGAAAGCGUGGGGAUCAAACAGGAUUAGAUACCCUGGUAGUCCACGCCGUAAACGAUGAUUACUAGUUGUUGGGGUUUAAGCCUUCAGUGACCAAGGGAAACCGAUAAGUAAUCCACCUGGGGAGUACGCCGGCAACGGUGAAACUCAAAGGAAUUGACGGCNGAGAGNGCGAGACGACGACGAGGAGAGG